rnacentral:ncRNA from 17 species
GGGAAGCCGGUCCAACUCCGGCGCUGACCCGCAACCGUAGGCGUCCCGGCCCCAGGGCCGUGGCGCGAGCCGGACC